AUUGAACGCUGGCGGCAGGCCUAACACAUGCAAGUCGAGCGGCAGCGGGAAAGUAGCUUGCUACUUUUGCCGGCGAGCGGCGGACGGGUGAGUAAUGCCUGGGAAAUUGCCCAGUCGAGGGGGAUAACAGUUGGAAACGACUGCUAAUACCGCAUACGCCCUACGGGGGAAAGCAGGGGACCUUCGGGCCUUGCGCGAUUGGAUAUGCCCAGGUGGGAUUAGCUAGUUGGUGAGGUAAUGGCUCACCAAGGCGACGAUCCCUAGCUGGUCUGAGAGGAUGAUCAGCCACACUGGAACUGAGACAUGGUCCAGACUCCUACGGGAGGCAGCAGUGGGGAAUAUUGCACAAUGGGGGAAACCCUGAUGCAGCCAUGCCGCGUGUGUGAAGAAGGCCUUCGGGUUGUAAAGCACCUUCAGCGAGGAGGAAAGGUUGAUGCCCAAUACGUAUCAACUGUGACGUUACUCGCAGAAGAAGCACCGGCUAACUCCGUGCCAGCCGCCGCCGUAAUAC
rnacentral:rRNA from 1 species